UCAAGUUAUUAAGGGUGCAGGGCGGAUGCCUUGGCACUAGGAGCCGAUGAAGGACGUGAUAAGCUGCGAUAAGCUUCGGGGAGUUGCACGUAAACUUUGAUCCGAAGAUUUCCGAAUGAGGAAACUCACUUAGAGUAAUGUCUAAGUAUCGUUAAGUGAAUACAUAGCUUAGCGAGGGGAACCCGGGGAACUGAAACAUCUAAGUACCCGGAGGAAGAGAAAGAAAUUCGAUUCCGUAAGUAGCGGCGAGCGAACGCGGAACAGGCCAAACCAAUGAAGUUUACUUCGUUGGGGUUGCGGACAUACAACAUGGAUGCAAUAUCGUAAAUGAAGAGAGUUGGAAAGCUCCGCCAUAGAAGGUAAUAGCCCUGUAGUUGAAACGAGAAAGCUACUAGUAUGAUCCAGAGUACCACGGGACACGUGAAACCCUGUGGGAAGCAGGAGGGACCAUCCUCCAAGCCUAAAUACUACCUAGUGACCGAUAGCGCAUAGUACCGUGAGGGAAAGGUGAAAAGAACCCCGGGAGGGGAGUGAAAUAGAACCUGAAACCCUGCACUUACAAGCUGUGGGAGCACAUUACUUGUGUGACCGCGUACUUUUUGUAGAACGGGCCAACGAGUUACGUUAAGUAGCAAGGUUAAGCACUUAAGGUGUGGAGCCGUAGCGAAAGCGAGUCUUAAAUGGGCGAUUAAGUUACUUGGCGUAGACCCGAAACCGGGCGACCUAUCCAUGAGCAGGUUGAAGCGAAAGUAAAAUUUCGUGGAGGACCGAACCCACGAGCGUUGAAAAGCUCGGGGAUGACUUGUGGAUAGCGGUGAAAUUCCAAUCGAGCCCGGAGAUAGCUGGUUCUCCCCGAAAUAGCUUUAGGGCUAGCCUCAAGCGUAGAGAAACGGAGGUAGAGCACUGAAUGUCCUAGGGGGUAUUGCACUUACCGAAGACUAUCAAACUCCGAAUGCCGUUUUCUUUUACUUGGGAGUCAGACUGUGGGUGAUAAGAUUCAUAGUCAAAAGGGCAACAGCCCAGAUCGUCAGCUAAGGUCCCUAAAUGUACGUUAAGUGGUAAAGGAUGUGGGAUUGCACAGACAACCAGGAUGUUGGCUUAGAAGCAGCCACUCAUUUAAAGAGUGCGUAAUAGCUCACUGGUCGAGUGAUCCUGCGCCGAAAAUUUCCGGGGCUAAAACGUACUACCGAAGCUACGGCAUCAUUUAUGAUGGGUAGGGGAGCUUCGUAUGCAGGCUGAAGCAUGACCGUAAGGACAUGUGGACAGUAUACGAGUGAGAAUGUUGGCAUGAGUAGCGAGACGUGGGUGAGAAUCCCACGGGCCGUAAACCCAAGGUUUCCAGGGGAAGGUUCGUCCGCCCUGGGUUAGUCGGGACCUAAGCCGAGGCCGAAAGGCGUAGGUGAUGGACAACAGGUUGAUAUUCCUGUACCGCCAAUAAGCGUUUGAGAGAUGGAGUGACACAGUAGGAUAAGCUAACCGUACUGUUGGUUAUGUACGGCUAAGCAUUGAGGCAGUCUAAAUAGGCAAAUCCGUUUAGACAAUGCUAGGAUGUGAUGGGGAAGCCCUUCGGGGCGAAGUAGCUGAUUUCACACUGUCAAGAAAAGCUUCUAUCGAGUUUAAAGGCGCCCGUACCGUAAACCGACACAGGUGGGUGAGGAGAGUAUCCUAAGGCCAGCGAGAGAACUAUUGUUAAGGAACUCGGCAAAAUGACCCCGUAACUUAGGGAGAAGGGGUGCCUGUCUAUGACAGGCCGCAGAGAAUAGGCCCAAGCGACUGUUUACCAAAAACACAGGUUUCUGCUAAGUCGCAAGACGAUGUAUAGGAGCUGACGCCUGCCCGGUGCUGGAAGGUUAAGGGGAUCUGUUAGAGCAAUCGAAGCAGUGAACUUAAGCCCCAGUAAACGGCGGCCGUAACUAUAACGGUCCUAAGGUAGCGAAAUUCCUUGUCGGGUAAGUUCCGACCCGCACGAAAGG
rnacentral:rRNA from 1 species